AAAAUUGGCAUGUUUAUUAUCCACAUGACUGCCCCUAAGUUGGACAUCCUACACAUGACUGCGCCUAAGUUGGACAUCCUUCCACAUGACACUAAGAUGGACAAGCAAUAUCCAUACAUUGAACCAUGAGAGGAAGCGUGCAUAUCACCAAAGCACCUAGAAAACAAAACAACAAAAGUUAUAUGGCUCAUACAGAAGUCUUUCAGAUACAACAGGAACUAGUUUAUGUGGUACCACUUAAUAUAUAAUGCACAUAGUUAAAAAUUCUUUCAAAGAAUAUGAAAAAUGAACUAAAAUGCCAUCACUUAAGAAGUCUUAGAAAUAUGACUUUGGCCUACUUCUACGAAGGCUAGAGCUAUACGGGCAUGUUAAAACAGAUUAUACAUAAGAAGUUUUCUACAAUAUAUGAAAACAAAAGUAUAUGUUACACGAGUUAUUCAACCCGAGAUCGCAAAAAACACUUGAUAAUUCAUAUAAGUGCAAUAUUGUCCGGAAGUUCAUCUUACAACAAGUGUGGUACAUUUGUAACUGUAAGGAAAUAGUCAAUAUGACGUGCACAUGUCUACAACAUCUGAUGAUCCGGAAAGAUCAUGGUACCUUCAAUAAAGGUCAAUGUCUCAAAAAGUAGGCAAAUGAGAUACUAAAAAAUAUUCCAGACGAUAAUUUUGUGGCAGAAGAAACACAACCAGGCAAUUGCAAACCUCACAUGUUCAAGUGCUCCAGAACUGGACUUCACAUGUAGAUGCAAAUCUAUAGCGGUCGACGUGAUCAAACACGUUCCUUUCUUGCAUAUCCUGCUGCAAAAG
rnacentral:lncRNA from 1 species